rnacentral:rRNA from 1 species
ACUACGGGAGGCAGCAGUGGGGAAUAUUGCACAAUGGGGGAAACCCUGAUGCAGCGACGCCGCGUGAGUGAAGAAGUAUCUCGGUACGUAAAGCUCUAUCCGCAGGGAAGAUAAUGACGGUACCUGACCAAGAAGCCCCGGCUAACUACGGGCCAGCAGCCGCGGUAAUACGGAGGGGGGAAGCGUUAUCCGGAUUUACUGGGUGUAAAGGGAGCGUAGGCGGCAGCACAAGUCUGGAGUGAAAUCCCGGGGCUUAACCCCGGUACUGCUUUGGAAACUGUGCGGAUGGAGUGCAGGAGGGGUAAGCGGAAUUCCGAGUGUAGCGGUGAAAUGCGUAGAUAUUAGGAGGAACACCAGUGGCGAAGGCGGAUUACUGGACUGUAACUGACGUUGAGGCGCGAAAGCGUGGGGAGCAAACAGGAUUAGAUACCCCAGUAGUC